GCAUAUCAAUAAGCGGAGGAAAAGAAACCAACAGGGAUUGCCCCAGUAACGGCGAGUGAAGCGGCAACAGCUCAAAUUUGAAAUCUGGCCCCAGGCCCGAGUUGUAAUUUGCAGAGGAUGCUUUUGGCGCGGUGCCUUCCGAGUUCCCUGGAACGGGACGCCAUAGAGGGUGAGAGCCCCGUACGGUUGGACACCAAGCCUUUGUAAAGCUCCUUCGACGAGUCGAGUAGUUUGGGAAUGCUGCUCUAAAUGGGAGGUACAUUUCUUCUAAAGCUAAAUAUUGGCCAGAGACCGAUAGCGCACAAGUAGAGUGAUCGAAAGAUGAAAAGCACUUUGAAAAGAGGGUUAAACAGCACGUGAAAUUGUUAAAAGGGAAGCGCUUGUGACCAGACUUGCGUCCGGUGAAUCACCCAGCUCUCGCGGCUGGGGCACUUCGCCGGCACAGGCCAGCAUCAGCUUGCCGUCGGGGACAAAAGCUUCAGGAACGUAGCUCCUCUCGGGGAGUGUUAUAGCCUGUUGUAUAAUACCCUUCGGCGGGCUGAGGUACGCGCUCCGCAAGGAUGCUGGCGUAAUGGUCAUCAGCGACCCGUCUUGAAACACGGACCAAGGAGUCAACCUUAUGUGCGAGUGUUUGGGUGUUAAACCCCUACGCGUAAUGAAAGUGAACGCAGGUGAGAGCUUCGGCGCAUCAUCGACCGAUCCUGAUGUUCUCGGAUGGAUUUGAGUAAGAGCAUAUAGGGUUGGACCCGAAAGAAGGUGAACUAUGCGUGUGUAGGGUGAAGCCAGAGGAAACUCUGGUGGAGGCUCGCAGCGGUUCUGACGUGCAAAUCGAUCGUCAAACAUGCGCAUGGGGGCGAAAGACUAAUCGAACCUUCUAGUAGCUGGUUUCCGCCGAAGUU
rnacentral:rRNA from 1 species